rnacentral:rRNA from 1 species
AUGGCACCAUAUCAUGCUCCUCCGUCUGCCACGUGGGGAAUAGCAGUCUCUUUAUCUGUGUUUCAGAGUCAAGGGAUUUGUUUCACACCAUAUCUCUGUCAUGCAAUGGCUUCUUAUCAACAAAAGACAAAUUUAUUUUACAGGUUUGAAGCUUAUCUUGCUGGGGAUGUGAGAGAUUUUCUACACAAAAGGGCACCUAAAGAUGUUGAACUGAUCCGUACUGCAAGGCUCAUGCACGUUUUGGCUCAUGCAGAUAUCACAUGUGUUUCUUUCUGCAAAUUCUCACAUGUGUUGAACUGA